GCUCCGACUCUAUAAAUAGAAUCUAUAAAUAGAAUGACAAAGCGAAGGAAACGAAAUUUUAAACUGAUUUCCGCCAUUAAAAAAUAACAUGAAACCUACAGUUCACGACACAUCGCAUAGGAAUUUAAAAUAAAUAUUAGGCCUAUAGGUUUAAUACAUACUGCAUAGAAUCUAGAAAUUUAGAUCUAGUGUUCUGGUUAGUUUAGAAUAUAGUCUAGAAUCUAAUCAUACGGCUGCAUAAAAAGAAAGUUUGAAGGAAAUAGAAUAGGAAUCUGCAGAAGCGGAGUGUUUUCCGCACUCGAGAGGAAAGAGGUUGCAGGGAACUUAGAGACUAAACCUUGCCAGCAUACUGGAUUUCUGGUGAUGACAAUAGCAGCAGAUAGUAUGCGGCUCAGUUAAUACUAAAAACAAUUGAUUUUAGUAAUUAGUGGACUAUGAGUGUGUGUUUGGCCAUCCAGAUUUCAUAACUACAACUGAUGUUCAAUUACAAUGGAUAUUAAUCAGUCUCACUGUGCCUA